GACGGAUGAAGGAUGAGGUAAGUACUGAA
rnacentral:piRNA from 1 species